AUGGUCGGCGGGCCCAACAACGUCCUCCCCGACCUGGCCACCAGAGCGCCCGCGGCGGCCGCGGGGUCGGCGCCAACAUCCAGGCCCACCCGGCCGUCUCAUUCUGGGAACAACUCGUCGGCAACGAGGUCGCCGGGGGCGACACGCAGUAUGUGGGCCCUGCCAUGGAGAACGUCCACAUCGCGCUUGUGGCGAACGGUCUGGGCGGCGCAAUCAAUGUCACGAUGGCGAUAUCACAGGCCACCAUCGCCAUACACGUCUCACCGUCCGCCAGCGAGUUCACCAACGAGUCCAAGCCGUUCAUGA
rnacentral:rRNA from 1 species